CAAACUGACAAUGCACUCUUCUGGUAGCUCCGAAUUUGGACCUCUCGCUUCUUAGAUUAGUAAGACUUCACUGUCUGCAGAUCACUCUGUGGGAUCCGGGGACAGCGGACCAGGAACGGAUUCCAGUGCUGGCCAUCCCUGUUAGCAGGGCUAUCUUAGCUAGUCACUCAGUACUUCUGAGCCUUGUUCACUCUCUUGUAUGACAAGGAAAUCAGAAACUACCAGGGUAAGUAGAUUUUAGGAUUUGAGAUCAUCAGAUGUGUAUAUAUUUUCUCUCACACACGCUUACUCUCCCUCAGAGCAAUAAUUCAGUGUUCCCAGCGAGUAAGUAUAAGUGUAAUUAGGGUUUGUGUCUGUACAGAACCUAUGGGGGAUAUGUGGAAUUGGCUGGAUAUGUAGGAUUUAUACUGUUACUGACAGGAUGUUAGUAUUGUGUAAACCAUGCUGCCAUUAACAAAAGAAGUUCAUUGAUUCUUCUUGCUUCUCCUCAGUUUUAUUAU
rnacentral:lncRNA from 12 species